UGGGGAAUCUUCCACAAUGGGCGAAAGCCUGAUGGAGCAACGCCGCGUGUGUGAUGAAGGGUUUCGGCUCGUAAAACACUGUUGUAAGAGAAGAAUGACAUUGAGAGUAACUGUUCAAUGUGUGACGGUAUCUUCCAGAAAAGGAACGGCUAAAUACGUGCCAG
rnacentral:rRNA from 1 species